rnacentral:rRNA from 1 species
CCUACGGGGUGCAGCAGUGGGGAAUAUUGGACAAUGGGCGAAAGCCUGAUCCAGCCAUGCCGCGUGUGUGAAGAAGGCCUUCGGGUUGUAAAGCACUUUCAGUGGGGAAGAAAGCCUUGGGGCUAAUACCCUCGAGGAAGGACAUCACCCACAGAAGAAGCACCGGCUAACUCCGUGCCAGCAGCCGCGGUAAUACGGAGGGUGCGAGCGUUAAUCGGAAUUACUGGGCGUAAAGCGCGCGUAGGCGGUCUGAUAAGCCGGUUGUGAAAGCCCCGGGCUCAACCUGGGAACGGCAUCCGGAACUGUCAGGCUAGAGUGCAGGAGAGGAAGGUAGAAUUCCCGGGGUAGCGGUGACAUGCGUAGAGAUCGGGAGGAAUACCAGUGGCGAAGGCGGCCUUCUGGACUGACACUGACGCUGAGGUGCGAAAGCGUGGGUAGCAAACAGGAUUAGAUACCCCAGUAGUC